GCAACCACUUUUUCACUCUUCAAAUUAUUUUCAGUUUUAAUUAAGAAUGGUGACUCGAUAUGAACAUUCUUAAUUGAAACUGAAAAUAAUUUGAAGAGUGAAAAAGUGGUUGC